AUAGUUGAUUUCGACUCAACAGACUUGGAACCAGGCCUCCAAACACCUAC
rnacentral:tRNA from 1 species